GGAUUAUUCGACACCUCACUGUAAAAACGCAUGCACACAGAUCAUCCCGUCACACACCAAGACACCAGUCUGCAUUUCCUUUUUAGUGGAAAAACAUACUGCCUUUGCUGCUAGGUUGAGUUAUGGGGAGUCAUAGGUUGGAGCCGAUCCCAGGAACUUGGGGUGAAGGGUGAGGGACACCCUGGAUGCGGCGCCAACCCAAUCACGCACUAUGGCAAUUUGAAAAUCCGUGUACAACACAUGUCGUUGGACUGGAGGAGGAAACCGGAGUACCAGGAGGAAGAACAUGGAAGCUCCGUGCAAACAGGGCGGAGGCAGGAUUCGAGACCCUAACCCCAAAGAUGGGAGGCAGGUGUGCUGACCACUAAGCUACCGUAACAGCCUCCCCCCCCCACACACACAAAAGUCUUAGGCAAAAGUCUUAGGCAACCAUUAUCUCAUUCAUUUAGUUUCAUCUUAAUUGUUUUAUUUAGUGCUUUCUGCAUUAAUAGGUCAGUGAAAAAGAUGAAGAAAACGGAUGUCCAAACGUUUAUUUUACAAACCGUGAAAUGUUACAGAGAAAUGUUUGUACGUCAUAAAGACGGAUAUUAAGGAAGAGAGUGUUUUCGGGUGCAAAAAAUAUAUAAUGAAGGCUGUCGGGUUUUAGCUGCAAAAAAAACAGACCUCUCUACACAGUCUCGGGUUCUCCAAGAUGCUUAAAAAAGAAAAACUUCGCAGGUGAUUGACAUGUAAAAGUGUACCUGAGAGAACUGGUGCAGUUUUCAAGACAAACUACGAUCAUUACUCGUGUCAAAUGCUGAUUGUAUUUAUUUAUUUAUUUUUAACUGUCACUGUGACAGUUUAUUUGAUACAUAGAUACUUUUCAUUUCAUUAUUUUAAAAGCAUUUUUGCUACUCA